rnacentral:ncRNA from 1 species
AGUAUAUUUGAGUGAACUUUUGAUAGUACGAGAGGAACUCUAAGUGAUGACCACUGGUGGUGCGAUUAACUAUUCAGUUAUGUUGCUUAGCUACGCCAUUUCGAUUAAGGCUGAAAGCCUCUUAAGCCUGAAGCGUAGCUCAAAUAUAUAAUUGGGAGAAUACUACUCUAUUAAGCAGAACUGUAAGGAUGAAGGUGUAUACCGACAUCUUGAGGUUACUGCUUUUAUAACUUA